rnacentral:rRNA from 1 species
AAUAUUGCGCAAUGGGGGGAACCCUGACGCUUCGUCGCCGCGUGAGCGAUGAAGGCCUUCGGUUCUUUAAGCUCUGUCUUCAGGGAGGAAGAAAGUGUCGGUACCUGUGAAUAAAGCCCCGGCUAACUAUGGUCCAGCAGCCGCGGUAAUUCGUAGGGGUCGAGCGUUGUCCGGAAUUAUUGGGCGUAAAGGGUGCGUAGGCGGCUUCUUAAGUCAGAUGUGAAAGACCACAGCUUAACUGUGAGGUUGCAUUUGAAACUGGGGAACUUGAGUUUCGGAGAGAGUAGUGGAAUUCACGGUGUAGCAGUGAAAUGCGUAGAUAUCGGGAGGAACACCAGUGGUGAAGGCGACUACCUGGUCUGCAACUGACGCUGAGGCGCGAAAGCGUGGGAAGCAAACA